AGCAGAAACUGCUAAUGAAACAAUGUAUUUGUGCUGGAAAACAAUCAUAAUGCGCUCAGAUUGAGGCAUAAUUAUGUGUUAUUUCUGCAGCGAUAGCGCCAAAUUGAGUUGCAAUCUGUAGGUCUAUAAGUUUGUCCAACCAAUGGAAGACAACCAAUUCUGUCUGAUGUCGCUAGUGCAGCAGAAAUGAUACACAGUGUCCAUGAAACAUUCAGAAAUGCUCAGACAAGACUAACCUUCCAGUGCUGCAGUCUAAUAAUAACAUGCGUUUGCUCUUAGCCGCGGAAUGUGAGCCUCUUCCGCUGGAGUGAGUGCAGUGGUGUGGAAUUACAAUCAGUGACCAAUGAGGACUAACGCUUCUGCCGGCGACCCCCAGCAUCACCUACUCGACCCAACUGACCCACAGACUCCUCCCUCUUAGACUAUUAGCCCCUCCCACACCCUGUGACAGACAGCGAGGACAGACACGCCCACUCAGCCAGAACCCCUCCCCUCCCUGCUCCUCAGCUCACACACACAUUAAUACACAUCAACUCUAUAACCCUCUGUCACAGUUUAACUUUCGUUUCACAUAAUCCUGUCAUCGUCAAACCAAAACCAAUACUUGAGGAACUAUUGACACCUUGAGAGCUGGAAGCUUAUUUAGGAAAAGUAGAUCUAGAACACAACACUUUAAUGAACUCAAACUCUUUGACAGAUGGUUGAUGAGUUAUACGUCACUGUUUAUCCUCUUUAUUUUAAAGAAUGAGCUUGACAAGAAAAGAUAGAUGAAUGAGCACAGGGUUUGAUAAAUGCAUUUCUGUCACUUUAUUUACUUUCUGUCAUCUUUAAGCUUCUUUUGGCUAGCAGACGCUUGAUUUCCUGCAGUUUAUGGAUGCAUUAUCUCUCCAAAGUGUGCUCUGGAGUCUCAUGAUAACUGCAUCUUCUGGAAUGAGCUCGUGUGCAUCUGUAUUUCUGUUCAUUACUUUGGCUCUUCUUGUUUUUGUUUCGCAUGUGUGUCGGGCUGCAGUGGUCCCUGAGCUCACGGGCCAGAAGACGACACCAGACUCCCCGAAGGCCGGUCAAACACAGGCGGCCCUUCUCGCCCCGAGAGCCCCUUUUCUCCACGCGACCCUUAGCAUCAUUUCUUCUUCUGUUCCUCCCCACAUUGAGUAAAACAACCCAAACCCACCAGCACAAGAGAAACAACACCAACCAGAAACCUUCCAGAUGUUCCCUGCAUCCUCGGCUGGAGGAACGAGUUUCUCUCUUCGGUGAAACCUCCUUCAAGCUCACUGAUCAAACCUUCAAGAAACUCGUUAUAAAGGGGUCAUUCACACAAAAAUGA
ensembl:lncRNA